rnacentral:rRNA from 2 species
CGCGGCCUAUCAGCUUGUUGGUGGGGUAGUGGCUUACCAAGGCUUUGACGGGUAGCCGGCCUGAGAGGGUGACCGGCCACAUUGGGACUGAGAUACGGCCCAGACUCCUACGGGAGGCAGCAGUGGGGAAUAUUGCACAAUGGGCGGAAGCCUGAUGCAGCAACGCCGCGUGCGGGAUGACGGCCUUCGGGUUGUAAACCGCUUUCGCCUGUGACGAAGCGUGAGUGACGGUAAUGGGUAAAGAAGCACCGGCUAACUACGUGCCAGCAGCCGCGGUGAUACGUAGGGUGCGAGCGUUGUCCGGAUUUAUUGGGCGUAAAGGGCUCGUAGGUGGUUGAUCGCGUCGGAAGUGUAAUCUUGGGGCUUAACCCUGAGCGUGCUUUCGAUACGGGUUGACUUGAGGAAGGUAGGGGAGAAUGGAAUUCCUGGUGGAGCGGUGGAAUGCGCAGAUAUCAGGAGGAACACCAGUGGCGAAGGCGGUUCUCUGGGCCUUUCCUGACGCUGAGGAGCGAAAGCGUGGGGAGCGAACAGGCUUAGAUACCCUGGUAGUCCACGCUGUAAACGGUGGGUACUAGGUGUGGGGUCCAUUCCACGGGUUCCGCGCCGUAGCUAACGCUUUAAGUACCCCGCCUGGGGAGUACGG